UGUGGAAAGAAUCCGGCAGCUUGGCACAAAAACACUGGGACACGAUCAAUCGCGGUUGAUGAAAUAAAACCAUAAUUGUUUUGCAAUGCAUUCUUACAUUACUUACCUUCACUUUUUUGUAUGCUUAUUUAAAUUGAUCGGAAAAUGGCCGCACUUUGAUUUGAAAGGUAUGACAACUAUUUGCAUACCUUCCGGCGCGAACACGAUAACUACUUAGCGUUACAUGUAUCGCAUUGCUCCGAAACCGAUCGAUACCGAUUUUUGAUCAUACACUACACGUGUGCUAUAGAUCUCUGAGUAAAACAAUUCGGAUAAAUUAAGUGAAGCAUUAUGGGAAUAUACCAUCCUUGGUUUGAAUAAAAGCGUGAAACACCCGUUUGCAUACCCGCGAACACGGGCCCUGUUACAUUUAUUGCCUUACACCCAAAUUCGUGAAACAUUACGUAUACUUAGAGUUCUUUUUCUGCCAAGCAAUACAAAUAAAACUCGAGCAAACAAAACAAGAAUCGUGUCGGAAGGAGCAGAACCGCAAAGGCAUACACUUUGCAAAUAUGGUUUUCACCCGUAUACGUGCGUUGCAUGUUCAGGUGUUUGCAAAAACAUCCUCGUGUGUUGUUAGUGUUCGAGGUUUGCAUGAGUAGUUAUUUCUGUCUCGGUCAAUUUAGUAUAUAAACGAGACAGUAAUGGGUUGGGUAACACAUCGAUUGAAAGACGAAUUUGGAUGAUACUCUAUUCCCAACAUGCUGUUCAAACUAACCGUCCUAAGCGUUGUGCUUGCCAUGCAGCUACUGCUCGUGAGCGCACAAUCCCCUGCGGCUGGAGCCAAGAGACCACUUUGCAGGCCAAACGAGGAGUAUUUGAAGUGUGGCAAUCGAUGUGCGGAACCGAAGUGUGACAAAGCUCUUCCUGUGUUCCAAAGAUGUCCAACAGUGUGUGAAUAUGGAUGCUAUUGCAUUGCUGGAUACGCACGUAACAGCAAUGGUCUCUGCGUGCCAUAUCAAAGAUUUACUAGGUGUUCGAUUCGCAAUAGUCUCAGAACUUGUACCACCAUAGCAAGAUGUACUUAAAUUGUGCUUAAAAAUUUCAAAAAAUAGAACCAGCACUCUGACACGAUGAUGUUUGAUGAAAUAAAAAAAAAUGCUUCAUAAUAACUAACUAUGACCAUACGGCGUCAUGCCGUCAUAAUCGAAAAUAAAUAAAUAACUAACUAUGACCCGUUUGAUUAAAAAAAAACACAAUUUUUAUAAUAUUUUUUCACACUCGAUGUGUUAAAUAUUAUUAGGUAAAUAAUACUAUUCAGUUAGAUUAAGUAAGCUUUCCCAAUAUCCAAACCUUGGUUUGAGGUGCAGCGUACAACAUCAAUUUGCAUACUUUACGGCGCAAACACGAUAACUGCUUUGCGCUACAUGUUUUGCAAUGCUCCCAAAAUACGUGUUGCACUAACCCAGAUUUCUUAAACUACCCCAAAGAGACACUUAAAAAUAUUUAAGCAAGCAAAACAUAAAUUUAAUCGUGGUGGCAGGAAUAGAACCACCAAGGCAUAAACAUCACAAAUAUGGGUUUCACCCGUGCACGGUGCUCUGUAUUUAUUCAGGUGCCGACUGGUUGUUCUUCGAGUCGGUUUCGCGUGCUGUUAGUACUCGAAAACUGCAUACGUAGUGUUUGCUGCCUUGGUUCGUUUUGUGUAUAAAAGAGGCAGUAAUAUGUUACAUUACCAAUCAUUUUAACGAAGAAUUGGGUGCAGCAUUCAACCGUCAUGUUAUUCAAACUAACCGUUCUAGCUGGUGUUCUUGCGAUGCAAUUACUGCUCGUUAAUGCACAUUCACCGGAAGCCGAAAGUAAGAGGCCACGUUGUAGGAUAAACGAGCAGUUUAUUGAAUGCAGCAACAGAUGCAUGGAACCGAAGUGUAAUCAAUCUCUAAGAAUGUUUUGCCCAAAAAUUUGUCAAUCUGGAUGCUAUUGCAUAAGUGGCUAUGCACGUAACGACAGGGGUGUCUGUGUGCCAUAUAAAAGAGACACUAGGUGCUCGGAUCCCAAAAAUCCUAGAACUUGUACGCCGAUAGCCAGAU